rnacentral:lncRNA from 1 species
UAAAAGGAGGAAAAAAAUGAGAUAUUCUCUCUUAUUUCUUGCAACAACAGGAGAGGGGAGGAGAGGUCCUCCGAUGACUUUUUUUAUUCCUUUCUCUUCCAAUCAACACCUACCCACCCAAGUUUUGUUCCAUUAAAUCUUACUACUAGAAAACAAUUUUUUGCUUGAUUUCCACAAUUGUUUUCUUUAUUUGAGGCUAAGAUUUCAAGUGGGUUAAUCAAAAAAAGCUAUGCUAGAGAGACAAAGCUCCAAGGUAAGAAAAUAUGUUUUCUUCAUAUCACCUUAAUUAUUUAAGAUAUUUAAUAUCAGAAAUGUGAUGAAGGAAGUGUAUUAAUAUUUUGUUUAUAUUUUGUACUAAAAAAUGUUGAAUGGAUGCAGAAGAAGACUUUGAGUGGAUGAAUGGGUGGAUCCACAUGUUGAGAAAGCUAAAAGAAGCUUUGUUUUGAAACUUUUGCUAUUAAAGAGGUGUCAUGUAUUCUUUUAACCUCCCUUUAAUAAAAUGAUCAUGAAAAUUAUUAAAAUGGUGAAAUAUAAUAUAAUAUAUAUGUAUAUUUAAAAAGUGAUUAAAAGUACUUAUAUGAGAAAAAUAAUAGUUUAGUAAGUUGUGAUAAUUGGAAGAAAUAUAGUAAAAUUUAUGAACUUUCUUUAUGGCACUUAAAUAGAUUAAAAAAGUGUCAAGAUAAUUAUAGUUAUGUCAAGCGUGGUAAAGUAAAAUGUGAAUUAUUACUAAAAUGAGUUAAAAGUUGAAAUUUAAUAUAAUGAUUAUUUAUUAAAAAGAGAGUAAAAAUAACUGAAAAUGUUUAAUAUUGUUGAGAGAACUAACUGCUUGAAUAUAUUAAUAAAUGAACGUAUUAAAUUAAAAAACAUAGGAUAAUGAGUGGAUGUUCAAAGAGCUCCUAAUUAUGUGAUCUUGAAAAGUGUUUAAUAUCAUAAAACAUGGUAUACCUUUACUUGUGUAACACCUUUCACUUUUCUCACCGUCUAGCUGAAAUGGGAGAUACUGUUGGAACAUAUACAAACAAGAAAUCUUGAAAUAUAUUUUUUUUCCUUUUUAUCGUUCCCAAUUUAAAACAUUUUUAUAAUAUCAAUAAAUCAACUUUAUGAAAAUUUAGAGCCUUUAGAAUCAAUUUAAAAUCAUUUAGGAGUGGUUCAGGAACAUUGAAUGUGUUUGGGACUCAAAACAAGUUAAACAAUGAAAUGGGAAUAAGGUUGUGCACAAUGCUGGGACAUUACAUGAGGUCGUAAUGUCACUUGCUAUUUGGGCAAAGUCACAAUGUCGUAGGUGAAUGUCGUGAUCUUGCAAGGACAAGGUCACGACAUCACCUUUUGAGCUACAAUGUCAUGACGUUACAAAAGUCAAGGUCGUGACGUCGAAGCAAAGCAACUCCAAAUUAUCCUUAGAUCACCUUCAAACAUAGUAUACACAAGACAUGCUUAAAGAUAAUCCAAAUACAUAUAAAAAUAAUUCCCUAAAUAUUUUCAACCAAACAUUACAUACAUAAAAUCAUUAAAAGGAUAUUUAAAACAUAUUAAGCCUUUAUGGAUUCAUUCAAAACAAAUUUAAUCUUUCAUAUAUCACUUCCCGCGUCAUUUCUACAUAAUUUACAACAUUAUAAUGCCAAAUUCAAACCAACCAACUUGGUACUAGAUAAGAGUUCAACCUAUGUAUAUACCAAACCUAUAGGAGACAACACUUAAAGAAUUUGUACUUACUCUUCAAGCUUUGAUAAGGUGAUGAAAUCUCCUGAAGUGGGCAUGGGUUCUAUUGGAACAUCGAUAUGCCUCCUGGCACAGCGAAAAAAUAAUUUCGGUGAUCACAACCCAUGGUAUAAGCAAGUGACAUAUUAAGAAUAUGAGCACCACCAUAAUGUAAUACUAAACCCGCAAUCAAGCCUUCAUCCCAACAAGAACCAUCAACACUCAAUAGCUCACUGAACUCCAUAUCUUUCAGCCCAUCCAAUGGAACCAAGUCAACCAAAAAUUGUUAAGAGUUCAACCUAUGUAUAUACCAAACCUAUAGGAGACAACACUUAAAGAAUUUAUACCUAUUCUUCAAGCUUUGCUGAGGUGAUAAAAUGUCUUGCAGUGGGCAUGGGUUCUAUUGGAAUAUCGGUAUGCCUCGUGGCACAACGAUAAAAUAAUUCUGGUGAUCAUAACCCAUGGUAUAAGCAAGUGACAUAUUAAGAAUACGAGCACCACCAUAAGGUAAUAGUAAACCCACAAUCAAGCCUUCAUCCUAACAAGAACCAUCAACACUCAAUAGCUCAUUGAACUCCAUAUCUUCCAGCCUAUCCAACAGAACCAAGUCAACCAAAAAAUUGUUAUCACAAAAAACCCACGAAUCCUUAAAUAACACAACAGAACCUUGACUUGUCGUCAAAUGUAGUAGUUAUUUUAGGUCAUUUCUGCACUUAACGAGCUUAUUUUCUUGGCAUUUUAUAAUUAAUUAUUAUAUCUGCAGUACUAGUAGGUUAGAAAUGAAAUAUUAAUAAAAUAAGUGUUGUUACACAUUUUCUACUAUUUCAAUGACUCAUAAGGCUAACUCGAGCCUCGUGAGUGACUAAUGGGUCAUUUAAGUGUGUAAAAUGCCAAUUUAAGUCUAAUAAUACAAUGGAUGAUGAUCGGGUCAUGAGACAAUGAAGCUCGAUAGCACAAUGAAGUUGCUAAGGCUGGGAAAGCACUUGACGCCAUGAAAAAUGUUUCCUCCCGUCACGACGACACGAUAAAGAUAUGAAUGCAUUCACGGUGGCGAUGUUGUGAUGAGGAGCCUUCCUAUGUCAUGACAACGCAGUGAUGGUGGGCCAAAAUAUUGUUGACUGUUUGGACGGUACUUUUGGGAUAUUUCCUUAUUUGGACCGUAGCAUUUAUCAAAAUAUUGUAUUAAUUGGUAUCUAAGUGUAUCUACGGUAUAGUGGUCACCAAGUAGCCCGUUGCCUAUAUAAGCAACCUUAGGAUCAUUGAAAUUAGAGUGCAAACUUAGACAAACGAUUUUUCCUAUUCAAUUUUCUUUGUAUUUUCUUUUUAUUUUCGUGUAAUCGAAACUUUUCUAUUCUAAUGUGAAGACAUUUACGAGCGGAGAUUGCUACGGGAUCGUGUUUCAAUAUAUAUUUAUGAGCCUU